UCUCUGCCAGUCAGUGGCCGUGCGCGCCUCGCCGUCACAUUACCCGUAACCCUUUAAACAUCGCGGCCAAAAUUCGAAAGCCGUCGCUGGCUCUUAACCCUUUGACGCGGCAAGUCGGUUCAAAUUCAUGUGUGAGUGUCAGUAAAACAGUGAUUUACUUCUGGACUCCUGGGACUUUUUGGUCAUCUGAUCGCCGUGGUGCACGUGUCUCCAAAAUCGAUAGCAGGCAUCACCUCCUCGUUUUACCCUCAUCUUCAAGGUCACACGGGGAGAUUGUCGGGGGAAAGUAUUAAACAAGCGGGUUGAUGGGGCGGCGGCGGGUAGCGCGAUGAGCUAGCGGUAUGGGAGGCGAGGGGGCGGGCCGCGGCGCCGCGCACUGGCACGUGGGCGACUCGCCCCCGCGCGCGCCCAUGGGCUUCGCGGCGCCCGCGCAAGAUGCGCCGCUCGACCGCGGACACGCGCCAGCGCCGGCGCCGGCCCCGGGCGCGCCGGCGCAGGCCGCCGCGGCCAAUGCCGCCCUGCAGCGGGCACACUCCAGAUCAAUGUCAUCUCUACCACCGGAGCCCUUCAUGAUGCUCCGGGCCAAGGCCCUCAGCAAGCGAGUGAUCAUCAACGUGGGCGGUGUUCGACACGAGGUCCUCUGGCGCACGCUGGAGAGGCUCCCGCACACUCGUCUGGGCAGAUUGCGGGACUGCAACACGCAUGAGGCCAUAACUGAACUCUGUGAUGACUACUCUUUACAGGACAAUGAAUACUUCUUUGACAGGCACCCGAAGAGUUUUAGUUCAAUAUUAAAUUUCUAUCGAACUGGCAAGUUGCAUUUAGUGGAUGAAAUGUGUGUACUGGCAUUUAGCGAUGAUCUAGAGUAUUGGGGGGUGGAUGAACUGUAUUUAGAAUCGUGUUGUCAGCACAAAUAUCAUCAGAGGAAGGAACACGUCCACGAAGAGAUGCGCAAGGAAGCAGAGAGCUUGCGACAGCGGGAAGAAGAGGAAUUUGGUCAAGGCACUUGUGCUCAAUAUCAGAAGUGGUUGUGGGACUUACUAGAAAAACCCACGACGAGUAUAGCCGCUAGGGUGAUUGCCGUGAUCUCAAUCCUCUUCAUCGUGCUGUCCACGAUAGGGCUCACUCUCAACACGAUACCACAGAUGCAAGUAGUCGACGAGCAAGGCACGCCCAUGGACAACCCGCAGCUGGCUAUGGUAGAAGCCGUGUGUAUCACGUGGUUCACGCUCGAGUACGUGUUGCGAUUUAGUGCUUCGCCGGAUAAGUGGAAAUUUUUCAAAGGUGGACUGAACGUUAUAGAUUUGCUGGCUAUAUUGCCGUACUUUGUUUCUCUUUUCCUUCUGGAAACGAAUAAGAACGCGACCGAUCAAUUUCAAGAUGUGCGUCGUGUUGUCCAAAUAUUUCGUAUAAUGCGUAUAUUACGUAUAUUAAAACUCGCUCGACAUUCGACCGGGUUGCAAUCACUAGGUUUUACACUUAGGAAUUCUUACAAAGAACUGGGACUACUCAUGUUGUUUCUUGCGAUGGGUGUCCUCAUAUUUUCUUCACUGGCUUAUUUUGCGGAGAAAGAAGAACCGGGAACUAAAUUUAUUUCUAUCCCUGAAACUUUUUGGUGGGCGGGAAUCACGAUGACGACGGUCGGAUACGGAGAUAUCUAUCCCACGACCCCGCUGGGCAAGGUCAUUGGCUCUGUGUGCUGCAUUUGCGGCGUGUUGGUAAUUGCGUUACCCAUCCCUAUAAUCGUCAACAAUUUCGCCGAGUUUUACAAGAAUCAGAUGAGACGCGAGAAGGCGCUCAAACGGCGCGAGGCGCUCGAGCGCGCUAAGCGUGAAGGCUCCAUUGUGUCCUUCCACCACAUUAACUUGCGCGAUGCCUUCGCCAAGAGCAUGGAUCUCAUCGACGUGAUCGUCGACACAGGACACAACCUGUCUCAGGCGGACGGCACAAGUUUGGAAGGCGAAGCGCCGCCCAUCACCGGUUGCUACAAACAGUACGAGCACGCGCUUGCCAACAGGAUACCACAAGCUGAAGCUAAUCAGUUUCAGAGCAGUCCUAAGAAAGAACGACGCUUCUCCGCAGAAGGCUUGGGCACACCGGAGAAACGCUUGCUCAUAAACCCUGAACAAACACCAGAAAAGAAGAUUGCUGAAAAACAGCUUGACUUGGAACAGCUCCCUUCUGAAUUUGAAUGUUGUUUUUGCACGUUCAAGGGCUACAAGGAGUUCAUAGAUGCUGAGCAGUUAAUGCCAAUGCCGACAUCAGACUUGCGGCAGCCCGUUUGCGUGGAGCUCGCCUGCCUACAGCGACACCCCGCGCCACGAGCCCUGCCCGAAGCUACUCCCAACAGCCUCGACAGCCCUGAUACAUUUGCAUCAUGCCUUACGCACCCUUUUCCUUCAGAGGGCGACAUCACGUGCGAGAACGACUCCUCAAACUUGUAUGUGAAUCCGCUGGACGGUAGCGGCGGCGGCGGCGCGGGGGUCGGGGUGGGCGGGGGAGGGCCGCCCGAGUUUGUGGGGGUGCGCAAGAGCGCGUCUGGGGAUGGGAGCGUAUUGUGUGCGAAAGAUUCGCAGGGCGAGACUUCGCCGCGGGGCUCGCGGGGAAGUCUCGGCGCAGUAGGAACCGUAGCGGGCGCCUCGGCCGAGGCUUGCGCGCGGCCGCUGGACGCCUCUCGCUCCAGCCUUCAGCCGCUCGAAGAGACGCCAGCGGCCGACGACACCAAGCCCAAACAUAGAAAAGCAAGAUUUCAACAGGUCAGUCGCUUUCGCUGGCCCUCUGAGAACGAAGACAACGAUGGCGUUCAAACAUACCGACUAAGACAGUAUUGGCAAUGGGGAGUGGCAGGAGGAGGAGAAGAAACCACCUCGCGGGAUAGCGACGAGGAUUAUCAAUCACCACAUUCUGUUUGGAAAAAAUGGCAAUAAGCGCGGGAGCGGCGGCUGGCCGCUUGAGGGUGACUCCAGAUCUCGGUCUAUUCUUAAGAACAAGGAAUCUCGCGGCACCGACAGCGAGCUGCUCCUGCAAGAGACUACCUCGCUUGGUGCAAAUGGCGACUCCGGCAGCGAGUCUUCGCCUAUUCGCCUCAAAGACUUCAAGGGCCAUAACCACAAAGGCAGCACUGAGAGAAGCAACAUUGUGUCGUAGACAAAUAUUAUUAUAAUCGAUUAGCACGCCCUGCUCUUCAUGCCCACGGCCCCAAUAUUUGAACGCGUAGUGAUAAAUAAUAUGCCGUACCCCUGAACGCGUACGCUAUAGAUUUCUUAAUAAAAAUAAACUUAGAAUGCAAUAAAAUUAAAAAUACAUAAAAAAAUUAACAUAUCAUUGGGCGAUUGUGACUGCUUGUUGAUAGAUGAAUUUCAUUUCGUAGGGUUAUAAAUAUUGUAAAUUAUGUAUUACUUAUUGUAAUAAUUGUUCAUUCCAAUCGAAAAGUUGAAAGUACCUACUUGUUAAGUUUUUUACGUGCAAUUAUUAAUUGCUAAUUCUAAUUUAAGCGAAUAUAGUUUGUACAGCAUAGUCGACGAAAGAAAAGCAAUUAUUAAAAAAAUUAAAGAGUUUCUGAAGUUGUUAUAGAUUA